rnacentral:tRNA from 1 species
GCCCUGAUGGUCUAGCGGUAUGAUUCUCCCUUAGGGUUGUCUAAGACAUCUCGGUCUGGGAGAGGUCCCAGGUUCGAUCCCUGGUUAGGGCC